rnacentral:rRNA from 1 species
GACUAAUCGAACCAUCGAGUAGCUGGUUCCCUCCGAAGUUUCCCUCAGGAUAGCUGGUAACUUUUUAGAAUAGUUUUAUCAGGUAAAGCGAAUGAUUAGAAGCUCUGGGGAUGAAACAUCCUCGACUUAUUCUCAAACUUUAAAUAGGUAAGAUGAUUGCAGUACUUAACUGACUGUCAGUCUCUUGAAUAGUAAGUUCUUAGUGGGCCAUUUUUGGUAAGCAGAACUGGCGAUGUGGGAUGAACCAAACGUAAAGUUAAAGUGCCUAAAAAUACGUUCAUCAGAUACCACAAAAGGUGUUGAUUCAUCUUGACAGUUGGACAGUGGCCAUGGAAGUCGGAAUCUGCUAAGGAGUGUGUAACAACUCACCAACCGAAUGAAUUAGCCCUGAAAAUGGAUGGCGC